rnacentral:lncRNA from 1 species
UUUUUUUUUUCCUACCACACAUUGUGUCACUCGGUCUGCACUGGGAAAAAAAUGUGCUUUAUGACAAGAGCAUUGAGCUCCCUGGGAGCGUGGUAGAUGCAGCUUUAUCUCAGUGCAUAUUCAAUGGGAAGUCAUAGUGGCUUCCUUGUAAUAAAAGGCUUUAUUGUGCUUCGUAAUGAAGACACAAAGCACUUAGUUGAAAUCACAGUCUUUUAAACUAAUCUGCUUUCUAUUCUAUAGUGGAGUCACAGAUACAAGGGAAUUCAAAGCGAUUUCUACAAAACGAUUUACUCAAAGAAGCCAUAUGCGGCAACCUCUCUGAUGCCCAGGUACUCUCUCUGGGGUCAGAGCUUCUCCCCCUCUCCCUUUUCCUCCCGCGUUGACGGUGUGCACGCUCUGAUCUUUCUCAGUGUUUAUCCUGCUUGUGAGGGCUGGUAGAUUUCCCCACAAAAACCAUUACAUAUUAUAUGAUCUCAACCAGGGCAUAAAAAUCCUGUACCACCCACAGUCUCCACACACACACACACACACAGGCACACACACACACGCCCUUGCACACCAGAAUACAAGAGAGCUAGCUCAGUGGAGGGGAGGAUUUUAAAGCUUUUAAAUAAAGAUGAUAACUGUUGUUGGACUGCACAAAGAUACAGAGUAAUUAAAAAGCUCUUCAAAGAAUGGUUAAAUAAUUUUUCAGAAACACUGUAAGAAACACUUCUUGCUGUUUCGUUCUCUCACAAUGAAGCGAAGGAAGAAUAUCUCAUUUUCCAAAUGGAACUUUAUGGAGUUUUCAAUAAGCCCCCUCAGCACUUAUCUAAAUCUUUAAUUAGUUCUAUAAUAUACUGAUGAUAUCAAGCCUAAUUAAAUUUAUAUAGAUAAGGCGCAAUGAAAUUCUAACCAAGUGAGCUGGAAAGCAUAUAUUAAAUAGUAAAUUUAAUGGUUCAAGCUGAUAACUACAAUUUUAUAUCAAAAAAUUAAAUUCAAUUUACAUGUUGUAUUCAAAUUGAUUUUGAGUGUGCAAAUUAUUGGAAAAAUCUCUUGAAUAGAUCAGUAAAAUUGCUAAUCCAGCCUGUUUAAAUAUCAGUUAUUAAUGUCUGCAUUUGCAAAUAAGCCACACACAUUUGCAUUUUUACUGCACAUAGUAAAAAAUUAUCUAAACCUUAUGCCAUUUUAUUAAGAAUACGAAGUGAUUUUUCUUUUGGCUUCAUGCAUAAAUUAAGGAGGCAAAGAAAUGACUGACUAUUGGCCUAAAGAAGAAAGAGUCAGCAACUUAGUAUAUGGCAAGGCAAAGAUGACACACACAUAUAUGUAUAUAGGUUAUAUAUACAUAUUUUUUUUUUACUAAAGCAAUAUAUCUUACCCUUUGGGAACAGCAAUUACAAUGGUAAAAUUCCCUCUUACUCACUAUCAACUAGACUGGAACUGUACAUAAACAUGUGAUGUCAUAAUCACAGGUAGAGAGGCUGCACACAAAUAUGGUGGUGUCUCCCACUAGUUUGGGGAAGAGAAACGCUUUGCUGUAUUUAUCAGAGGGUAAAGGUAGAAAUAUGCUUAGGAAGUUAUAUUAAAUAUUCACUUGACUAGUCAAAGAGAAGGCCCAGCGACUUUACCAUCUAUGUUGAUUGACAGUAGUACCAAUUCUUCAUUUCCACCGGUGACUGGCUACCCCUCAAAAGCAUCAGCAUUAAGCAUGCAUAAAACAUAUAUGAGUAGUAAGGAUAUGACAAAUAUUAUUAAUGGAGCCUCAGUGACCUCAGAAUUAGCUGUGUAUUUGUAAAGUGUGUGCAGUGAUCACUCUGGGCCAGCCGUUAUCUGCUUUUCCCCAAACAUACCUGUAUUAAAGGAUAAUAAAGGUGUCUUUGAUGCCACUGGUUAGAAAGCUAUCUUUGAAAUAAUCAAAUAUUUGUUAAACACCCAUUAUAUGUCAUGUGCUUGCAUCAUGGGAGAUGCAAAGACUAUGCCAAUGACUUUAGAGGACAGAAGUAAGUAAGCGAGAUGAUUUUAGAUUAGUAUAGUUAAUCACUCCAAAAAAAGGGGUGGGAGUGUGAGGCGUUUUAAGAGCGGGCAGUUUAAGAAUGAGUAACAAAGGCCAGAAGAAAGGCCUGGAGACCAGACUCUAAAUCACAUGUAAGGAGGACUGUGAGAUCAGUGGGAACAGAAGAUUCUGGAAGAAAUAAUGGGAGAAGAAGCUAGCCAUUUAAGAAAGGACAGUAAUUAACAGAAUUUUUAUUCAAGCCUACAAAGUCUGUGCUGGAGAGAGUGCUUAUUCAAAAAGUCACUCUAUGGAUUGUGCAAAAAAUUAAUUUAAGGGAAACGGUAUCACAAAGGAUGGCUAAAGUGACGAGAAUAAAAGACAUAAACAUCAGCUACUGCACUGUUGUUUUAUUUCAGGUGUGAUGUGGUAGUGCUGGUGGGAAAAACAGAACAGGGGUCAAAUGGAGCACCAUUUUGAGGAAGAGUCCACGAGGGUAUAAUAGGCUCACAUGACACAUGGAUGAGCCACAACAGGUGUUAGUUUUUGCAAUGUAAACACUAAGGUUAAGGGAUGGGGAAUACAACUAAGAUCCAGACCUGGCCGAUCUUAAGCCUGCUCUUACAGAGAACCCCAACCAAAGAGAAUGAACCUAUUUUUACUGUCUGAAAACAUGGAGGAACAAUUGCUAGGACCAGAAAAGAAGGAUAGAAGAGAAUUAGGAGCCAACACCUGUCUGGAUUUCCCCACUGAGUGGACAACACUGUCAAGUUUAGAAAUGAAAGAUUGCCUUAUGAGAAGAUGAGUUUUUUCGAAUGUAAACUCUUCAAUAAAGUGAAAAUCUGUGUCUUCUGAAAUUCGAUGCCCAUGGUAGUUCAUUCCAUGGGGACAGCUAAGCAAAAUGAUAUGAACCCCUUGGUGGGGGUGGGGGGUUAUCUGCUCUGAAUGGAGGACCAUGACGGUGGACAGUGAGGACAGGUAAGAUUGGACCAUUUCAUCACUAGCAAGGCUGUCUGUUAUGAUCCCUAACUUUCUGUUCAGAAUGUUCCAAGGAUGACAGAGGGCCAAAGAGAAAGGCUUUAGAAUUUCAUAGCACUUUACGAGAAUUUGGUAAAAUCAUGGACUGUUUUGUCAGAGAAAAUUAACAUCCACAUCCAGAUUUUGCACAUAAUUUGGGGGUGUUUAGGACCCCCUGAAGUUUCAUCAGGCACUUCAAGUUAGGAUUAUAUGGCUUUUACUCAGAAUACCACACUCCCAGAUACACACACACACACACCCAACUUAUAUCUACAUAGAGAAACACUCAUCUUCUCUACAUGAACAUACACUGAUGUGCAUGCAUAUGUAUUUAUGUACCUAUGUAUCUAUUAAUAAGGCUGCAUGUAGCUCUCUCUCACCUACUUCUUUUUCUCAUCAAUCAGAAUCUCUAUUCAGACCAGAUGGAAGCAGGAGACUGGGGUAAAGCAAAGGUGGGUGGAUCAUUCCAAGGUGCAGCAAGGAAAUUGAAGGAAGAAACCUUAGUUUCAUCGGGAGUAGCAACGCAAGUUAUGGGAUUUACUGUAUGGACACACAUAUGGAUAUCUUUACACAUGCACUUGGAGUGCUUUGAGAUUGCUGGGUAAGCAAGUGUUCAGUUAUCUUGAUUUUUAGGGUCCUUGCCUAGAGCCAGUCAAGCUCUAGAGAGGGCUUGGAUCAAACUGAUAGCCCAGGGGUCUUACAAAAAGCCCUCGUUAUCACCGCUGGUGACAU